AAUUCGAUCUGCUAAUGUGCUGCGCGUUGUAGUCGAUUAAAGCAUUUUACAUAUUGAAUAUAAAUAUAAGACCUUUAAACUAAUUGGCCUUAAAAUAUUUCAAUUUUAAUGGUGGAAAAUUCAAAUUCAUCUUGGAAAACUCAAAUUGAAUAUAUUGCGUAUUUCGCAUAUCACGUUGACUACUGGGGUCAAAUUAACAUAGAAUUGCGUUACGCGGGCACAAAGUGGACAGAAAAAAUCAGCGCGCAGAAAGCAAUAAUAGUUCAUGCACAUGGGUAUAUUUAUGUAUGUAUGUAUUGGUCUGCAUAAACUGGCUUGUUACUGUGUGUCUGCUUAAACGUUAUCUUCAAAUUGAUCGCACUCCAUCAAAAUUUGUUGUUGCUCGUCGCUCCUAACAAGAAUUUACUUGAUCUCUUUUAUGUGUGUCGUUUCUUCGUCCGUUAUUUACAUGCAUGCAUGUAUGUAUGUAUGUGCGCAUAUGUAGAUAAUGCACAAGCACGCGCUUACACACGCUUACACACAUAUGUACAUACAUAUGCUCGCCCAAAUUGGACAGUCUUCUCUCACUCUGUGUUAGUUUUAUUCCAGAAGUCAAUUUGAUGCGCUGUUUUGUUGAGAAUUAAAGUCGUUUGAAGCUAUUGCAAAAUAUAAUUGGAAUGUCUCGGUCAAAUACCGUCCAAUUGGCGAUUUGUUUACCUUCUCGGACGCCUGGGGAACAGCAUUGCUCGGUUCUCUUUCGUAUCGCGUGGGCUUGGACAGCGAUUGAAUACUUAACCGAUCCCAUUGCUUAUUUUUCAUAUUGCAACACAUAAAUAUGCUCGAUAAAGACAAGGCGAGCCGGGAUCAACUCCUUUGUGCUAGUCUGCCAGAGAGGUCGGUGCAAUUAUGUGGUCGGAAUUAAAAAGGGGUUUCUGCUCUAUCUCGCCCGUCUGCCGCUGCCAUUAGGAUGAGGACAUGGCUUGUGGAUAUCUUUUGCCGACAACUCUGCACCUGCUGCUGCCGUUGCCACGCCCUACAGAUUUCUGGUAUUCACAGCUCCAAAUUGAGGGAUUCAAGGAUUCAUCGAUUUUAAGGACUUUCACAAGGCUUUUCUGCAAGAUUCAGGAAAAUCUGCAGCUUUCAAUGACAAAAUCAAAUCAAUAUUGUUGGUACCUAGUUGACCCACAUAUCCUUGGUUAUUCCAUACAAUGGAUAUAGUGAACCUAGAGGGCGAAUAUGGUCCAAAAAUAUGUAUGCUUUUUCAGCCGUCCCAUUUAAUUUCCCGCCCCUUGCUGGUUCCUAGUUGACUGAAAUAUCCUUGGUUCUACCAUACCAUCGAUAUAGUCCUUGGCAACCUACAACAAAUCCCUGCAAAAUUUGCAUUGAAAUUAACCAAAAGCAUUUAUUUUCCUUUUAGCAGCGCCUGUAAAUAACCAGCAGCUGCAGCUGCUAACUAACAGCCGAUCUUACAGCACUCAUUUUACAUUAACUGCUAUUUAACAUAACUCAUUUUACAUUUUUGCCCACACGGGUAUGCAACAAAAAUUUUUAUUCAAAAAAUUUCGUCGACCUUCUGAGCAUUUCUGUUCGCCUGGUACUUCAGCGGAAUUUCAGUACAAAUUGGGGACCCAGCCGCCGACGAGCGAGCCCCUUUCGGGUAUGCAACAGAAAAUUUUCGGACGCUGAAAAAUUUUGUCUACCUUCUAUAUAUUUCUGUUUGCCUGGUAUUUCAGCAGAAUUUCAGAAAAACCUCGGCAUCCGGCAACAGAUUUUUAACGACAGUUGAUUUUUGAAUUUUUUGCAAUCCCAUAUCUCUUAGAAGUAAAACCAUGAAUUUGUUUAAUAAACGUUUUAUUUAUUUACGUUUAAAUAAACUAAGUUAUUGUUUUUCACAUAUAUUUUCGAUUUUAACUUAAAAUGUCCAUAUUUGGCUUAAAACAUAUCCGAUCCUGGAAGGAAUAGCCUCGUUAGAUUCGUAAAAGUCCUUAGAAUCGAUUAGAGUCCUUAAAUCCUUCAAUCUGAAAAGAUAAAAACACAUUUGAAACAAAAAUGUCAAAAGAGAUAUAUAAGGGUAUUUUGAGAAAAGAAAUGGCCAUAACUCCGGCAUAUCCUUGCAGAUCCUUGCAGGACAUGGUGCGUUAGGAUCGUGGGGACCAACUGCAUCGAACUGCAUCAAAACAUUAUGGGGUCAUCUAAGAAUCCUGGACUUGGUAAUUUUUUAGUCGCGGGCCGCAAGCAAAAUUGGUUAAAAUCAUCAAAUUACAGUAAAAUCGCGAUAUCUCUGAAACUAUAAGGACGAUCUUAAUGUAAUUUGGCCAGAUUGUAGUCCUGGUCAAUACAAUUUUUUUGACACAGGACUCGUCAGGAUACGCCAGGAUAUGGCCGAGUUAUAAGCUAUUUUCGGUUGACUAUUUUGUCCUUAAAACUUUUUUGUCCGAAGGACUUUCGUCCUUUGGAUUGUAUAUUCGUAAAUGGGAUGAUGAGGACUAUCUACUGUCCAAAGGACAUCGCGAUAGUCCUUCAAAUGGCAAAGUUAGUCUCGAAUUUUUCGAUUUUUGGUAAUUUUCUGACUAAACCCCUGUGAAAAUUUUUCGUGAAAUUUUUUGUCGAAUUCUGGAAAUCCUUGAAUGCUAAUCGAUAGUCCUGCUCCCCACGA